GCCGGAGUGGCGGAACAGGCAGACGCACAGGACUUAAAAUCCUGCGGGAAAUCAAAUUCCCGUACCGGUUCGAUUCCGGUCUCCGGCACCA
rnacentral:tRNA from 1 species